AAAGAGAAAGGCAGCAUCGCAACCCGGAGUCGCAGCCAAGUCCAGCACCAACUCCGGCCUGGAGCAGCAAGCUGUCGGAAGCAGACCGAUAGGAGAGCGCAUGCGCGAGAAAAGCGCCCGGCUAAGCCAGAGCUGAUCCUGCUAGUCAGCCAGUCAGCCAGCUGAUAGUUUUUGCUUACUGACUUUUCAUUCCCAGCGCCCACGAAAUUAGGAAGAAAAAGGAAGAUCGAUGACUCCAGAUGCUGCAAACACUGUUCCCCCUCCCUCCCAACCUGCUGCCUCUCGUGGUCCCGUGGAGCUUAGCAUGUUGUCAGGCAUCUUCAUCCCAUUCAAGGUCUUAUAAGUCUUCCCCCAAAUCGUCCCAAACAGUCCCCACUCAGAUCUAAACCCCAUCCUACCUGCUACAGUUUGCCUUUGCCCACCUCAGAGAGGAGAAUCUCUACCUUGGACAGGGCUCCCACACCAAGGGUCACCCUCGUCUCCCUUUGAUCCCAUUUUGGAUGAUCUCCAGGUGCUAGUUGGUCUUUGCCUCAGUUUCCCUGCAAGCCACAAACAGGAGGCCCUGGCCAGGUCUCUACCAGACAGAAGCCCACACCUCCCACAC